rnacentral:rRNA from 1 species
UACGAAGGGUGCAAGCGUUACUCGGAAUUACUGGGCGUAAAGCGUGCGUAGGUGGUUCGUUAAGUCUGUCGUGAAAUCCCCGGGCUCAACCUGGGAACUGCAUCCGAGACUGCAUUGCUAGAGUAUGGGAGAGGGAAGCGGAAUUUCUGGUGUAGCAGUGAAAUGCGUAGAUAUCAGAAGGAACAUCAGUGGCGAAGGCGGCUUCCUGGACCAAUACUGACGAUCAGGUGCGAAAGCGUGGGGAGCAAACAGG